CAAGUCGAACGGCAGCAUAGGAGCUUGCUCCUGAUGGCGAGUGGCGAACGGGUGAGUAAUAUAUCGGAACGUGCCCUAGAGUGGGGGAUAACUAGUCGAAAGACUAGCUAAUACCGCAUACGAUCUACGGAUGAAAGUGGGGGAUCGCAAGACCUCAUGCUCCUGGAGCGGCCGAUAUCUGAUUAGCUAGUUGGUGGGGUAAAAGCCUACCAAGGCAACGAUCAGUAGCUGGUCUGAGAGGACGACCAGCCACACUGGGACUGAGACACGGCCCAGACUCCUACGGGAGGCAGCAGUGGGGAAUUUUGGACAAUGGGGGCAACCCUGAUCCAGCAAUGCCGCGUGAGUGAAGAAGGCCUUCGGGUUGUAAAGCUCUUUUGUCAGGGAAGAAACGGUAGUAGCGAAUAACUAUUACUAAUGACGGUACCUGAAGAAUAAGCACCGGCUAACUACGUGCCAGCAGCCGCGGU
rnacentral:rRNA from 1 species